AUUGAACGCUGGCGGCAUGCCUUACACAUGCAAGUCGAACGGUAACGGGCCUUCGGGUGCCGACGAGUGGCGAACGGGUGAGUAAUGCAUCGGAACGUACCUUUCAGUGGGGGAUAACGUAGCGAAAGUUACGCUAAUACCGCAUAUUCUGUGAGCAGGAAAGCAGGGGAUCGCAAGACCUUGCGCUGAUUGAGCGGCCGAUGUCAGAUUAGCAAGUUGGUGAGGUAAAGGCUCACCAAGGGGACGAUCUGUAGCGGUUCUGAGAGGAUGAUCCGCCACACUGGGACUGAGACACGGCCCAGACUCCUACGGGAGGCAGCAGUGGGGAAUUUUGGACAAUGGGGGCAACCCUGAUCCAGCCAUGCCGCGUGAGUGAAGAAGGCCUUCGGGUUGUAAAGCUCUUUCGGCCGGGAAGAAAUCGCACAGGCUAAUACCUUGUGUGGAUGACGGUACCGGAAUAAGAAGCACCGGCUAACUACGUGCCAGCCGCCGCAGUAAAAC
rnacentral:rRNA from 1 species